GUUAUAUAGUUUGUGUUUGGUUCUUUGAUAUUUGUAGCUCUGGGGUUAAGGUUUAGAAAAGUUUGUACUCUAUAGAUAUUUUCUAUGUAUUUUUGGGCUGUAUAAUUGUAAACUUUUUUAUCUUGGUUCAGACUAUCUCGGUAUGUGGUAAUUUGUCGGGGUAUGAACAAGGGGUCUCUUUGUGUUUUUGGUAUAAAUGGUUUCUCAAAUAUCUUAUUCAUAUUCAUGUUCUGAUGUCUUUGUCUGCUAACUCCUCU
rnacentral:lncRNA from 1 species